rnacentral:lncRNA from 1 species
GGUGGUGGUGAACUCGGGCGUCCCAAAGAAGGAUGAUCACCUGAUCACCUUCCGAAGCGCGAUAGCCAAAACCCAGAUUGACUUUUUGUUGCUUAGGAAAGGGGAUAGGGUGUUGUGUAAGGACUGUAAGGUCAUCCUGAGUGAGAAUCUUUCGACCCAGCAUAGGCUCUUGGUUAUGGAUUUGGGUAUAAAGAAGGAUAGGAAGAGAAGGGGUGAGGAGUGUAGACCUAGAAUUAAGUGGGGCGGCUUGACGCCAGUGAAUGCGUGGGAGAUAGGGGAGAAGUUGGCGGGAAUGGGGGUGUGUGAGUGUAGGGGGGAUGUGGAUAAUAUGUGGGAUAGGGUGGCUAGGUGCAUCAGGGAGAAUGCUAGUGAGGUGUUGGGUGUUUCUAAGGGGUCGGGCCGGGCAUCAUCGGGAGGAUUGGUGGUGGAGUGAAGAGGUUAAGAAGAAAAUAGAGACCAAGAAAGGGGGGUAUGCUAAGUUGGUUGAGAGUAAGGACGAAGAAGAGAAGCGGGUAAACAGGAAAGAGUACAAGUUAGCUAGGAAGGAGGCUAAGUUAGCAGUUACGGCGGCUAAGACGACAGUAUUUGAGAGCUUGUAUGCGGGGUUACAGGAGAAAGGAGGGAAAAAAAAGUUGUUUAGACUCGCUAAGGCUAGGGAGAGGAAGGGUCGUGACCUCGAUCAGGUGAAGUGCAUUAAGGGGGAGGAUGGUACAGUGUUGGUGGAGGACGGCCACAUUAAGAAUAGGUAGUAGUCGUAUUUUCAUAGGCUCUUGAAUGACGAAGGGGAUAGAGUAUUGUGUUAGGGGAGAUGGAGCACUCAGAGGAGUGUCGGGAUUUUAGUUAUUGUAGACGUUUUAAGGUAGAGGAGGUUAGAGAGGCUGUUCGCAGGAUGCGAAGGGGUAGGGCGACGGGGCCUGAUAAGAUACCUGUGGAUUUUUGGAAGUUUUUUGGCGAGGCUGGUUUAAGGUGGUUGACAGGAUUGUUUAACGGAAUUUUCAAGACGGCGAAAAUGCCCGAGGCUUGGAGGUGGAGUACUAUGAUCCCUCUUUAUAAGAACAAGGGCGACAUUCAGAGUUGCAAUAACUAUAGGGGUAUUAAGUUAUUGAGUCACUCUAUGAAGAUUUGGAAGAGAGUGGUCGAGGUGAGGCUAAGACGAAUAGUGUCUAUUUCGGAGAACCAGUUUGGAUUUAUGCCCGGCCGCUCGACGACGGAGGCAAUUCACCUAGUGCAGAGGCUGGUGGAACAAUAUAGGGAAAGGAAGAAGGACCUGCACAUGGUGUUUAUCGACUUGGAGAAGGCAUACGGCAAAGUCCCCAGGGAGGAGGUGCUUUGGAGAUGCUUGGAGGUGAGUGGAGUCCCGGUGACAUAUAUCAGAGCAUUAAGGACAUGUAUGAUGGAGCUAAAACCCAGGUGAGGACGGCGGGAGGAGACUCAGAACAUUUCACUGUCUUGCCAGGAUUGCAUUAGGGAUCUACUCUUAGUCCCUUUUUGUUUGCUUUGGUGAUGGAUGUGUUGACGCGGCGUAUUCAAGGAGAGGUGCCUUGGUGUAUGCUUUUUGCAGAUGAUGUAGUUUUGAUUGAUGAGACUCAGAGGGGUGUGAAUGAUAAAUUAGAGGUGUCGAGACAAACUCUUGAGUCUAAAGGGCUCAGGUUGAGUAGGAGCAAGACAGAGUAUUUGAAAUGCAAGUUUAAUGACGUGAGGCUGGAGAAUGAGGUGGUAGUGAAGUUGGAAUCACAAGUAAAAGGGAUAGUUUUAAGUAUUUCAGGUCCGAGAUUUAGGGUCACGGUGAGANNNNNNNNNNNNNNNNNNNNNNNNNNNNNNNNNNNNNNNNNNNNNNNNNNNNNNNNNNNNNNNNNNNNNNNNNNNNNNNNNNNNNNNNNNNNNNNNNNNNNNNNNNNNNNNNNNNNNNNNNNNNNNNNNNNNNNCAUGUUGUAUGGAGCGGAGUGUUGGCCAGUUAAGAACUCCCACAUCUAAAAAAUGAAUGUGGCAGAAAUGCGGAUGUUGCGCUGGAUGUGUGGGCUGACUAGAGGGGAUAGAGUUCGGAAAGAGACUAUCCGGGAGAAGGUUGGUGGGACUGCAGUGGAGUGUAAGAUGCGUGAAACACGAUUGAGAUGGUUCGGACACGUGAUGAGGAGGGGCAUGGAUGCCCCGGUUCGUAGGUGUGAGAGGCUAGUUUUGGAUGGUUUUAGUCGGGGUAGGGGUAGGUCGAAGAAGUACUGGGGAGAGGUGAUUAGGCGGGACAUGGAGUAGUUACAGCUCACUGAGGAUAUGACCCUAGAUAGGAAGAUCUGGAGGACGCGAAUUAGGGCAGAAGGCUAGGGUCAGUUUGGGUCGCUAGUGUAGGGCAUUACUUGGUGGAGGUAUUAUUCUUGUUAUGAUACUUUGUUUCAUGCUUUAUUACGAAUCCGUUUACUUUUCUCUGCUUACUAUUACUUGUGGGUGUUGUAUUUAUGCUAUGCCAUCUUGUUCCAUGUUUUACUAUGAAUUUGUUUAUUAUUCAGUGUCUCGAGCCGGGGGUCUAUCGGAAACAACCUUUCUACUUCUUUAGAGGUAGAGGUAUAGAUUGCGUACAUCUACCCUCCCUAGACCUCACUAUGUGGGAAUACACUGGAUUUGUUAUUGUUGUAUUUAUUUGAACAUGACCUGUGUGAGUUAUAGGGAUUUUUUACUGUUGCCCAUGGUAAUAUCGUCAGUACCAGUGUAGUUACACUAUCCAGACAUUGAAGAUUUUGAGAAUCAGCAGUCACAUGAUGCGAUGCUCCUGAAUCGACAACCCAAGGCAUGGAAAAGUAAAGUUUGCUCUGGCUUCCAAGUGAUUGUGGGAGCAUGAACGACACACAUUGGCAGUAUGCCCAGUGUGACCACAUAACUGACAAACUGGACGAUUUUGUCGAGAGGUUAUUGGAUGCUAAUUUAGUGAUGUGGCUGAUGCAUUCAUUGGACGCCAAUUUGGUGAUGAGGUCUGUGCAUUUUGUUGCUUGGGAUGUUGUGGACGCCAUGGUUGUCCUCUCUUAUUAUUGCUGGGUGUAAAGUUUUUUGGUGAUGGUUUUUGUGCUACUGCAGCUGUAAUUGAGGCGUGAUUAGUCUCAUUAUGUUUGAGGAGAAGCUCUCUAUUGAGAAGCUUGUUGUAUAGUUCCUCAUACGAGAUAGGUGUAUCUUGUGCUUGGAUAACCGCUGAAAUUGAAUCAUACUCCUGUCUUAGACUGUUGAGUAUUUUGACCACAAGUUCGUCAUCUGGAAUAGGAGUUCCAACCAUUGCAAGUUCAUCAACAACGUUCCUAUUCUUGCGCAAGUACUCUGCUGUACUGGGAGAGUUUUUUGUGAUUGUAGCCAGAAAGUUUCGGAGACUAAAAACCCUUGUAUGUGAUUUGUUAGCAUACAGGUUAUGCAGUGUGUCCCACGUUUGCUUUGAGGUGGAAGUUUUGACAAUUGCAGAUGUGAUUGUAGGAUCAACAGAUGCCAUUAAGGCAUUGCGAAUCAACUGGUCUUGGCGAAACUAGAGUUUGUACUUGGGAUUGGGUACCUCUUGGUUGUUGAGGGUUACCAUUUUUGAUUGUGCUGUCAAGGUUCCAUCGAGAUAGUAGUAAAGAUCAUGACCGAACAUGAAAGAUUCGACCUGCGCUUUCCAAAUGACAAAAUCUAUUGGACUAGUAAGUUUUUUAGGGGAGGUUGGGAACUGGGGUUAAAUUGCACCAGAUGGUUGGUGUUAUUAGCAGGGAAAUAGAACCACUUGGAUUCACCAUGGAUGCCAUAAAACGAUAUGAAAACUUGAAAGAGAUGAGAAGACUCGUUGGAGUUUAGAAAGGCUCGGAUACCAUAAAGGUUCGAGAGAUGAAGAAGUAGUAGUAUAUGAGACUUGUAUAUCAUCCAAAGUUACAUAGACAUAAAUACAAGUAAGGAACUGCUAACUAAGGUAACUAGAUAUCUAAAUCUCUAGAAAUCAGUUAGAAUAUUUUAUACAUUUAAUAAAGCACAAAUAAGGGAGAAAAAUCUGCACAAUAUAUUACAUAAUCAAUCAUGUCCCAAUAGAAACAACUUGCAAAUCUAUAGGUUGUUUCAUGCACUUACAAACAUUGAAAGACGGCUCUUCAUUGUUCACCCGGAACUUCAUCUCACCACAUUGAACAUCAACUAAGGCCCGUCCGGUAGCCAAGAAUAGCCUACCAAGAAUGAUAGGGACCUCAUGAUCAAGUUCACAAUCUAGAAUGACAAAGUCGGUCAGAAAGAUUCAACGUUCCACCUUCACAAGAACAUUAUACAACAUACCCUAAACAUCUUGGCAGAACGAUCAGCCAUUUAGAGCCUCAUUGUAGUAGGCUUGGGGGUACCCAAACCUAGCUUCCGAAACACGGCAAAUGACAUCAAAUUAAUAUUUGGCCUAAGAACACACAAUGCUUCUCGAAUCUAUACAAUCCGAUUGUGCAAGGAAUAGUGAAUGCACCCGGGUCUUUCUUUUUUACCACCAUUGUGCUAGACAUUAUAGCACUGCAAUUGUGGGUCACCUCAAUGUUUCAAAAUCGGUGACUAUGAAUUUAGCAUACCCGUGCAUCUUUUGUAAAGCUUCCAACAAUGGCAUAUUCACUGAUAAAUUGCUAAAUUUUGCAAAGAAUUUCUUGAAUCUGAUAUCAUCUUCCUUCUUGAGUCUUCGUGGGAAUAGGGGAGGAAUUUUGAUUUGUGGCACAGAGACAAUCAGAGUUUCCUCUGGUUUUGGAGCAUUAGCAUCAAUCACUUGUGGAGCUUCCUCACUUUUAUCCUUUUCUUCAACUACCUUAGGCCUUUCAACAUUUGGCUUAUUAAGAGUUGGAACAUUAUCAUUUGACUUUUCUAGCCGCUUUCUCUUUCCAUUGGCUUGUUCAUCACUUCCCCUUUUAUUGGGGUUUUCAUCAAGAUCAACAUCUUUACCAAGAGUUCAACCUUGCCUAGUGACAAUAGCCAUGAUGUGAGCAUCAUUUUUAGUAUUAGCAAUAGUGUCACUAGGUAAUCCACCUUUUGGUCUUGCGUUGAGAUGAGUCUAGAUUUGGCCCAAUUGAGUUUUAAGUUGUUUGAUAGAGGCCGAGGGAGAGGUAAUUGUUUGAUUGAGUUGUGAGAAAUAACUUUUCAUCUCUCUCAACAUUCUAUCGCUUCCUUAAACACCCAUUAGGAUACGAUUAAAGACAUCUCCACUCUUGAACUUCUCUGGAUCAACGAAGCUUGAUUCUUUACCCUUGGCUCGAUCAUGUGGAGGAACGUACCGGUCAUGGUCCUCUAUCCUUAUCUCUGCAAUCACGCUCUCUAUUAUGAUCUUUAUCAGGCCAAUCUCUAUCACAAUCACCGUCCUUCCAAUCACGGUCGCUUUCCUUCUAACCUUGAUUCUCACCUUGCCUUUGAUAGGUAGGAUGGGAACCCCCCAUUUGGUUCGACAAAAACCGAAUUUCCUCACGAAGAGAUUCCGUUUCUUCGUUAUCAUAAGUUUUAACACUCUCAAAAGCAACGACAUUUACUUCCUUUGGAAGAGCUCCCACUACAUGUUUGGUGAGAAGAUCUAGUUGAGUCAUCACUUUAGCCAUAUUCGCAUCUCUCUCUUCGUCCUUUUUCCUUUGUUCUUAACUUAUAAAAGAUGCGGAGGGAUCACCCAUGGGCACCUUGGUAUCUCUUGUAUGCCAACGUCGACUUUGCUUGGUCACUUGAUCUAGUAAAGUCUCCGCAACACCAUAAGAUCAUUUAAUAAUUGAUCCUCCGACCGCAUUAUCGGCUACUCUCUUGUUCAAUUGCUCCAACGCCUUAUAGAAAAUUUGAAGUAUUUUUUUUUGGGACCUCAUGAUUUUGGCAUUGCAUUAGCUUCUUGUUAAAUCGUUGCCAAGCCUUAUGUAAUGGUUCACCAUUAAGUUGGUGAAAGUUGAUGAUUUAUCCCUUAGUUGCAAAGGAGGAAUGAACCGAUCCAAGAAUGCUUCCGUUAGCUCUACCCAGGAAGUGAUAGAUCCCUGGGCAACUCCCCCAACCAUAAGACCGCUUCUCCCGUCAAUAAGAAUGGAAAAGACGCAAACGGAUUGAUUCUUGAGAAAUAUGGGCGAGAUAUUAAAUGGAACACACACAUCAAUGAAGUUCUUCGAGUGUAAAUUGGCAUCCUCAUGGGGUUGACCCCCAAACAAUCCUUUCAUUUGAGGCAAAUGAAGCAUCAUGCUAGUAACGUGAAACACUCCAUUUUUGGCCACCAGUGGAAUACAAAUAGCACUAGCUCAACCUGCAUACAAAAACGACAAACAACAUAAAAAUAAACACUACGGCCUACUCAAAGUGACUAAAAACACUACAAAUGAAAACUAUGUUUCAUUCCCUGGCAACGUCGCUAAAAUUCGAUUACGCUCAAAUUACACCUUUAAGGUGUAAGCUAUCGUCGUUAAUCUAGUAACCCAAUGAGAGUUGGGGUCGAAUCCUCGAGGAAUGAAGACACGGAUUUCAAGCUUGAGUGUUACAAGCAACUAGAGGUUGGCACGUAAUGCGGUUUAAAUCAAACAAGAAAGUAAAAUUGGGGGGGGGGGGGUUUGAACUUUUUUAGAAUUAGUUUUGUCAUAGUGAGAAUGCAAUUUUGAAGCUAGAAAAGAAGAUUUUAACCAAACGUGAUGAGACUUUGGGUUAUGCCUUACAAAGUGUGGGUUCAUGCAUGGGUAAUUAGAUAUUUGUCUAAAUUUAACUAAAAAGUCAUGGGUAGGCUAAAUUAUGGGUCUUAAUGUUAAUUUGUCAAUCAAACACCAAAAUAUCACUAAUGGGUUCUCUUAAACACCUCAUAAGUGUCAGUAUUAGAACGAUCCAUGGCCUCAAUCAGUAUCUUUACGUCUAAGAGAUACAAUUAAAUGAUAUGAAUAAAGUUAUUGUUCACACCCAUUCCCCACCCUCAUACUCUUUAUUAAGGAUUAUAAGGAUUAAGGGUAAUUAGAGUUUGAAACCUCUAAUUCUCAAUUAAAACAUGGAAUAAAUGUAAAACCCAUAUCAAUUAGUUAAUUAGGAAGACAAAUAAGCAACACCUAUAUAAUAGUCACAACUUAUUAAGUAAAGCCCCAAGAUAAGAAAUUAGCUACUCAUAGAGAGAGAAAUAAGAGAUAUACCCAAAUUCUCCUUUGAUCCAUUUAAUCACAAUUUAAUACAAUAUUCAAGCUCCGGAUUCAAUAAAACUUGAGAUAAACUCACUAAUUUCUCACUUCGAAUCUUACUCUAAUGUUCCUAAACUUUAGAAAUUACAAGAAUGAAGGUUUUGAGCUGAAAAACCCAUAUUUAGACACAAAAUUGACGUUCCAUCAAAAUUACGAAAAUGUCACUGCACUGGUGACCUGUUGGCACAGGUGCCAGUGCAUGUGGGUGACCUGUGUACGCUUGCCACUCACCCAGGUGACACUGGUUCUUCGAAUAAGCCAUUUGCGUGCACAAGUCCAUCACGUGCGUACGCAGGUGGCUCCCGACAAGCCCAAGUGAACUUUUAGGCUCAUUUUCUUCCGUUUUCGACCUCUAAUUGACUCUAAUGGCUUGCUCCACUUUAUUUUCAAUCCUUACUUGCGCAAAUGAGCAUUAUAACACGAGAAUAACCUCGAAUCAAUGGAAAAACAUGAUAAUUCAAGCUUAAAAAGUGAUAACAAGUCAUCAAAUUGGUGACUUAUCUGCUAAUCGUUGCGAUUAUGCUCCAGUUUGCUCUUUGUCAUGCCACUUCCACUAGCAACCGACUUCGAAUUCUCCUUAAGGCAGCAUUGUGUUGAGUAAGGAUUUGAGUAGGGACUUUAUUUUGGGGCUUAAUAUUGCUGGACUCCACUCCUUUCCCUGGCUCAUUUCUCUUUAUGCCGAAAGCUUCAGCUCAAUCACUUGGACAGAGGGAUUUGCUCCACCAACUGCAAGGUCGGUGCCAGAGCGGUAUCCAUUGCCUUUAAAACAACUAAUGAAGGACAAGUGGAGCAUUAUCUAAUAACAUACAUUGUAAUUGUAGGCUUGCCUAGAUGGAGUAUUACAAACUUGGUGCGAUAUCACAAGUGGGGUUCGGGGAAGUGGGUGUACGUAGAUGUUACCCCUACAUUUGUGGAAUAGAGAGACUAUUUGGAUAUAUGCCCUGGACUUAAAUGAUAAGUACAUUCAUAUCUAAAUAGUGUUACAGUUGUGUUGGAUGAAGAACUUGUUCUAUUGUCAGCACCAUGUGGGGUCCACAAUAAACUACAAGCAAAGUUAGAAAAGAGAGUAAUGAUUGGAGGUAGAGAAAUUUUAGGCGCCUUACAUUUUGGUUUCAGAACAAUUGCAAAUGCAAAAUCGAAAAUUUGAUUGGUUGAAAAGGACAGUAAGCUUUUACUUUAAAUAGAAGCUUUUCGUUUCUUUUUUGAUACACCAUUUCAAAGAGAGUUGAAAGAAGUUGACAGGCAGUUAUAUGAAAUAGUCUGUAAAGGAAAAUAGUGUGAGGGGUGUUAUAGUGACAACAACAUACCCAGUGUAUUCCCACAAAGUGGGAGGUUAUAGUGAGGUGUCUAUAAUAGAAAAUGGUUGUUUUCAUUUGAGUUUGUUAUAGUCUAUUGAGAUUAUCAGUUAAGUUGCUUGGACUCUCCAAAAAUGUUGUCGCGCCUGUGUCUACACUACUUUUGAAGGAUCCAACACGUACCCAAUGACAUUUUUAAAGAGUCCGAGUAGCAUAACUGUCAAGUAUGUUAAUUUUCUCAAUGUAGUGAUAUUGUAUUGCUCCUCUCGAUUAUUAUAUUUCUCCAUAUUAAAAGGCUUGGUGUCCAUGUUAUAAACUUGUUUUUAUUAUUUAACGUGGAUGUUUAUUCUUCGGUGGGAUUAUUUCUCACAUGAAAACAAUUGUCUCAAGAUACUUGUUGAAAGUCUAUGCACCAUCUUAUUUUUUGUCUCCAUGAUUGGUUCUUAUUGUUACUAGUGCAGUCUAUGGAAUCUUUCUUCUAGCUUUUGAAUUCUUUGUUGGCUUGCUUCCAUUCAGGGUAAAUGUAAUGGACGGAAGAUCAAGCCAAUCUUGAAACUCAAAGAAAACUUAUUGCAACUACGAUCAAAGUAAUAAGAGAUACUUGGAAGCUGAAAAUAAAAUUUCCAACAUUUUAUUGUGAGGUGCCAUGAGCACUUUUCUGUUUUGAUGGGGUUGCAUCAGGGAUCAAGUCUUAGUUUGUUUUUGUUUGCCUUGAUGAUCAUGAUUGCUUCCAUUACUGACUAGAAAGACACCAAAUUCUCCUUUAGGUACUUCAACUGCGAUAUAGGUAGGAGGAGCUGGUACGGAAAAACCUUCUGUAUAAGGUUCGGAAUGGUGAAUUGAGGUAGAGUAGACCGAUGAUCCUGUAGUCAUUUGGCCGGUUAUUGAAAGAAUACUUGCAUAAAUCCCCUCAUAUAGUUUUUCAAUUCAGAAAAAGAUUCCCCACAUCUCACUGGAACGAAGGCGGAUGUUUUGAGGCGGCAUAUUCAAGAUGAGGUGCCAUGAUAUAUGCCUUUUCGGAUGUAGUUUUGAUUGUCGAGACUCGUAAAGGAGUUAAUGGUUUAAUUUGAGCAUGACCAAGACGGAAUAUUUAGAGUGCAAGUUCAAGGAGAAGACGCAUGAGGCUGACACGGUAGUGAAGCUUGAUACUCAUGCCAUCUAGAAGGAUAGUUUCAAAUAUCUUGGGUUUAUAAUUCAGGAAAAUAGAGAGAUUGACGAGGAUGUCACUCAUUGUAUUGGCGCAGAGUGGAUGAAAUGGAGGCCCGCAUUCGGAGUCUUGUUUGAUAAGAGAGUGCCUCCUAAAUAUAAAGACAAGUUUUACAGAGUGACAGUUUAAUCUGCAAUGUUGUAUGAGACAAAGUGUUGGCCAGUCAAAAACUCUUCACGUCCAAAAGAUGAAGAUGACAGAGAUGAGGAUGCUUCGAUGGAUGUAUGGGUUUAUGCGACCUUGACUUAAGAGUCAUUAAAAGAAAAGGCAAACCUUUAGAGGUUGGUACUACGAGGGAUAAGAUGAUAAAUGAGGUUAUUUAAGAUAAGGUGGGAGUGAUUUCGAUUGAUGUCAAGAUGCGGGAAGCGAGGUUGAGAUGGUUCGAACAUGUGAUGAGGAGGUGCACGAAUGCCUUUGUCACAACCCGAAGCGCGACAAUCACCCCAAAUCGAUGAAGGCUUGGGAUGACCCCUUAUUAUUACAUUAAAAAUGUAGUCUCAAAUAUAACCACAUAAAUGAAUCCAUAAUAUGAAAGAGUUUGAUGAAUAACAAAAUAAAGUUUGAAAACCAAAUCCAGACCUAAGAACCAUAAUCCAAUGCUAUCUACAAGCCUCUAUUCAUUAAAACAUCCACAAAGUCGGGACCUGACCCCGAGUAUGCCCGAAAGAAAAAAAGGGCAUCCCGGUGCACUAAAGUUACCGCUAUGUGCGGUGUCCGGGGAAGGGCCCCACCACAAGAGUGUAUCGUACGCAGCCUUACCUUGUAUUUCUGCCAGAGGCUGUUUCCUAGGCUUGAACCAGUGACCUCCUCUGGUCACAUGACAACAACUUUACCAGUUACUCCAAGGCUCCCCUUCAAGAGUAUGCCAGAAAGAAAGAAAUAAAAUGCUAAACCAAAAAGGACAAAGAAAACCAGGUCUACCGAAUGAUGGAAGGCCUACCACUUCAACAGCUGCGCAAUAGAGACACCAACGUUGUACAGGGUGACAAGAAAAGCCUUCCGAACCUAUAUCAUGAAACGAUGUAGUGUCCAGGGAUGGUCAGUACGCGAGUACUGACAUGCACCUAAGAAGUGGGAUAAAAUAUGCAAAUUUAUCAAAAUCAGUCAUAAAACAUAUAUUCAACAAUCAUAACUGUAAUAGGAUGCCGGGAUAGGGGCAAGGGACAUAUUACAUGCUCAUUUAAAACUUAGUCUGAACUACGUAGCUUUCACCGUCAUCUCUUUGCCCACGGGCUAUAUGGGUAUGGAACUCCCCAACUGGCAGGGCCAGUACAUGUUGGCCGCACGUACUGAGGGUUAGGCAAGAGUCAUUAAUAGACUGAGCCAUCAUACAUAUUGUCCAUAUGUUAAAGACCGUUCUCAUGUUAAGGAUACUAUCUGGUCGUCCAGUUAAGGUACGACAUCCCUAUGCUGGCAAACACAGGUUUCGAGCGUUGGUCACGAGGACUUGCGUCUUCACAGUGAAGCUAUGCAAUUUUCAUUAAAGUUCAAUUAAAACAUUUUUCACAUAACAUUGAUCAUGGAGUCAUUCAUUAGGCAUAUUCAUAUUGGUAUCAUCAUACCAAAACUUGCAAGCCAUUCAUAUCAUGCCAAGAAACAUUAUCAUAAAACAUUAAUGACUCCUUAACCCCAUCAUUAAAAAUCAUACCCGUAUUCAUCAUUAAACUGCAUAAGAAUCUCAAAGCACGUCAUGAAAUUCAACAUUUUUGAUAUUUCAAAAAGGUGGGGUAUCAUCUCUGUUCUUCAUCUCAAUUCAAAGCUUUUUCAAAAGGCUUGAAAAUCAUAAUUUCAAUCAUUCAUAAUGUUCAAUGUUUCUAGACUUACAUAAUGCAAUGCAUUUUUCCAACCAUGUUAUUUAAAUCAUUAAAACCCAACACAUGUGGUUAUAAAUAGUUCGUAAGAAGAAAAAAUCAAUAAUGAAUAUUUGCAAAGACAAUUAUCAAAUCCAACUUAAAGCAUCAAUGAAACAAGUAAAACAAUAGCAAAAUUCACACUUUAAGAUAGUAAUUAAAGUAGGGAGUGUUCAACAUGCCUUUUUGACAAAAGGAAUUUGGGAAAAGCUUGAAUCCUUAAUUUUGAAGCUUGAACCCUAGCUUGAAUUCAAUAUGAAGACUUGGAUUUGUUUCCUAUACCUUUGAUGACGAAAUUGGUGAGAAAACCUUGAGAAGAUACUAUAAUCUUUGACCCUUUUCUUGGAACUUUAGAUUGGAAAAUUGGGGUUUUUGGGAGAGAAGAUGAAUUAGGGAUUAGGGAGUGAUUAUCAUACUUUGGGAUGAAUUUAGGGAUUAAAAACGGAUUGAGAGAGUUAUACGGGGUGAAAGGACCAUUUGGUCGUUGAUUUAAUGUGGGAAAAAUAUGUUUUUACGUCAGGUAAGGUGGGGAUCGCCCCGAAAGCCCAAACGCGCGGCAGAAGCUUUGCCUCGCGCAACCCAUCGUACACGCCGGACAAUGUCUCACUAAAAUGUCCAUAAAUUUUUGCUCUAAACUCGGAUUGACGAACGGUCAGUUGCGUUGGAAAGAAGACUCAAAGAGCUUUAAUUUGGUACAUAGUAGACCAUAUAAAUUUUAAUAUUCUAGGAGUAAUGGUCGUUGGAAGUUGACCCAAGUUAAAACGUAUACUAUAACUCAAUAGGUAAGAAAGUUCUCAACUCAACUUUGAGCUAGAGGACUUUUAUGACUUCAAUAAAUAUCCAAAGAUAUUCCCACACUAACCACUUAUAUUUAGAUAGAAAUCAUGGAGUUGGGGUCUAUAUAUGUACGAAGGCCGGGUUCGAAUUGUAGCCCGAAAACGCGGGUGUUAUAGCCUUAGUGUGGCCCUAGAUUAAAAGGUGUGGAAGAUGCGAAUUGAAUUAGGGGAGACGGUUAGCAAAAAGGAGUGUAGCCUUGCUCUGAUAUGUAGAAGUGCUUUGUUUUGGUGUCCGUGCUAAUAAUCUUAGUGCUUUGCUUGUAGUGCCUUGUUUUUUCUGGAGUUUUGUAGUAUUUGUUGUUUUGUACAGAUCGAUUGUAGUAUUACUUUGUGUAGUUUUGUUUCUGUUACUAUUUGGUGUGUUAAUUUCUAUAUUUCUUAUAUUAUAUCUUUUUUGAACGGUAUAUUUGUCUUGAGUCGGGGGUCUAUCGAAGACCAUCUCUCGACCUUACCUGUUAGGUGGAGGUACGGACUCCGUACUCAUACCCUCCCUAGACUUCACUAUGUAGGAAUAUAUUGGAUAUGUUGUAUUUAUUAUUACUCCUGAAAACCAAGUCGUUCAAGUCGUUGUAAGAUGAGGACAUUAAGUUUUUGUAUUUAUAAAUAAUGCCUCAAUCCCAAAUAGGGGUAGUUUUUUGUGUGUAUGCCAUGUUUUUGAGUCCAACGAGUGUUUUGUUAAAAGUUUGUCGUUGAAAACUUGAGUUGCUUUUAAUACAACAGAGGUCAUUAACAUAAACUUGACGUUAGUGAGUUUAACAAGUUAAAAUGUAUUCCCUCUGUCAACCUUUACUUGUUCACUCUACUGCAACUUUUAUUUAUUCAGUUUGAAAACCAAGAGAUAAUUACUACUUUAUACCUAUUUUUCCUUUAUUUUUUAGUACUCCCUCUGUCCGACAAUACUUGUCCACUAUAUUAAAAAUCUAAGUUACUUGGACUCGAGUGCAAGUAUCCGACACGGCUGCAAAUUCGAGAGACGGAUUCAGCAAAAUUUAAAUUUUAAGAUUUGGGGUUUGUGGGGGGGAUGGGAUGCGGCUCCAGAUAUGUAUACGGGUGCUGGGAUUUGGCUGAAGCAAGGAUAUUUCAAAUUUUGAAAAAUCUUUUAGGGUGUCUUACCAAAGGCCCAAUUGCUUCUUUCAAGCUUUGUGGUUUUCCCCCUCAAAAGAGAUAAAGAAACUCUUUCAAGGCGUUCGACCAAGUCUCCUUACAGAUUGUUGCUACUGUCUACCUUAGAACACAACCACUUGAAUUCUUAGUUUUCCUCCAUUUGGCCUAAAACAUGAAUCAGCGAAUUUUGACCAAGAAGAAAACUGAAAAAGAGAGUCUUGUAGUAUUGAAGGUAUGUCAUUUUUCAUGUCUUAGAUCUAUUUCAUCUUUUAUUUUACUACAACAACAACAACAUAUCCAGUAUAUUCCCACCAAGUGAGGUAGAGAGGUUGUUUCCGAUAGACCCCGGCUCAAAAUAAAGCAAUCUAAGAUAAGAUGAGGAAUAGUAAUAGAACAAGAUAACACUGAAAUUAACAUACUCAAUGAUACCAAAAACAAGAUACUCCAAUUAACCACCAAAACAUACAACAUCCUAACUUAGACUAGCCUUCAAUACUAUUCAUCACGUCGAACCCGCACCUGUCUCAUGUCGACACGGGUGCGACAACAAAAAUGAAGAGUCC